rnacentral:rRNA from 1 species
UACGUAGGGACCGAGCGUUGUCCGGAAUCAUUGGGCGUAAAGAGCGUGUAGGCGGCCUGUUAAGUCUUGCGUGAAAUCUCGGGGCUCAACCCCGAGCGGUCGUGAGAAACUGGCAGGCUAGAGUGCGGGAGAGGAGAGUGGAAUUCCUGGUGUAGCGGUGAAAUGCGCAGAUAUCAGGAGGAACACCGGUGGUGUAGACGGCUUUCUGGACCGUAACUGACGCUGAGACACGAAAGCGUGGGUAGCAAACAGG